rnacentral:rRNA from 1 species
AGCGAACGCUGGCGGCAGGCUUAACACAUGCAAGUCGAGCGGGCACUUCGGUGUCAGCGGCAGACGGGUGAGUAACACGUGGGAACGUACCCUUUUGUUCGGAAUAACGCUGGGAAACUAGCGCUAAUACCGGAUACGCCCUUUUGGGGAAAGGCUUGCUGCCGAAGGAUCGGCCCGCGUCUGAUUAGCUAGUUGGUGGGGUAAUGGCCUACCAAGGCGACGAUCAGUAGCUGGUCUGAGAGGAUGAUCAGCCACACUGGGACUGAGACACGGCCCAGACUCCUACGGGAGGCAGCAGUGGGGAAUAUUGGACAAUGGGCGCAAGCCUGAUCCAGCCAUGCCGCGUGAGUGAUGAAGGCCUUAGGGUUGUAAAGCUCUUUUGUCCGGGACGAUAAUGACGGUACCGGAAGAAUAAGCCCCGGCUAACUUCGUG